UACGUAGGGGGCAAGCGUUGUCCGGAAUCAUUGGGCGUAAAGCGCGUGUAGGCGGUUCGGUAAGUCGGGUGUGAAAUCUCGGAGCUUAACUUCGAAACUGCAUUCGAUACUGCCGUGCUUGAGGACUGGAGAGGAGACUGGAAUUUACGGUGUAGCGGUGAAAUGCGUAGAUAUCGUAAGGAAGACCAGUGGCGAAGGCGGGUCUCUGGACAGUUCCUGACGCUGAGGCACGAAGGCCAGGGGAGCAAACGGG
rnacentral:rRNA from 1 species